AAAAGCACCCCGACAAGGGGAGUGAAACAGUUCCUGAAACCGGACGCCUACAAACAGUCGGAGCCUACCGUGGACCUUCGGGUCAAUGGAUUGGUGAGGCGUACCUUUUGUAUAAUGGGUCAACGACUUGGUCUUACUAGCAAGCUUAAGCCGUUAGGUGUAGGCGCAGCGAAAGCGAGUCUGAAUAGGGCGCAUGAGUUAGUAGGAUCAGACCCGAAACCGAGUGAUCUAGGCAUGUCCAGGAUGAAGGUUCGGUAAUACGAACUGGAGGUCCGAACCCACACCUGUUGAAAAAGGUCGGGAUGAGGUGUGCCUAGGGGUGAAAGGCCAAUCAAACUCGGAGAUAGCUGGUUCUCCGCGAAAUCUAUUUAGGUAGAGCGUCAGACGAAUACUCCCGGGG
rnacentral:rRNA from 1 species